rnacentral:rRNA from 1 species
AUUGAACGCUGGCGGCAUGCCUUACACAUGCAAGUCGAACGGCAGCACGGGAGCAAUCCUGGUGGCGAGUGGCGAACGGGUGAGUAAUACAUCGGAACGUGCCCAGUUGUGGGGGAUAGCCCGGCGAAAGCCGGAUUAAUACCGCAUACGACCUACGGGUGAAAGCGGGGGAUCGCAAGACCUCGCGCUAUUGGAGCGGCCGAUGUCGGAUUAGCUAGUUGGUGGGGUAAAAGCCUACCAAGGCUACGAUCCGUAGCUGGUCUGAGAGGACGACCAGCCACACUGGGACUGAGACACGGCCCAGACUCCUACGGGAGGCAGCAGUGGGGAAUUUUGGGACAAUGGGCGCAAGCCUGAUCCAGCCAUGCCGCGUGCGGGAAGAAGGCCUUCGGGUUGUAACCGACUUUGUUCUAGGGAAGGAAACGGUUAGGGUCGUAA